AGUGAACGCUGGCGGUAGGCCUAACACAUGCAAGUCGAACGGAAGCACAGUAAGAGCUUGCUCUUACGGGUGGCGAGUGGCGGACGGGUGAGGAAUACAUCGGAAUCUACUUUUUCGUGGGGGAUAACGUAGGGAAACUUACGAUAAUACCGCAUACGACCUACGGGUGAAAGCAGGGGAUCUUCGGACCUUUCGCGAUUGAAUGAGCCGAUGUCGGAUUAGCUAGUUGGCGGGGUAAAGGCCCACCAAGGCGACGAUCCGUAGCUGAUCUGAGAGGAUGAUCGGCCACACUGGAACUGAGACACGGUCCAGACUCCUACGGGAGGCAGCAGUGGGGAAUAUUGGACAAUGGGCGCAAGCCUGAUCCAGCCAUACCGCGUGGGUGAAGAAGGCCUUCGGGUUGUAAAGCCCUUUUGUUGGGAAAGAAAAGCAGCAGGUUAAUACCCCGCUGUUCUGACGGUACCCAAAGAAUAAGCACCGGCUAACUUCGUG
rnacentral:rRNA from 1 species